AAACUGAUUUUAAAUCAGGUCGACCCAAACCAACCCGUUUACAUGACACGACUCAUCGACCAUCGUUCCUAAUCGAAUCAUAUUUUUCUUCACUGUUCAUAGCUCAUCGUUCCCAAUCGAACCCUAAUUUCACAGUUCACCAUCUAAAUCAUUUCUCUUCAGUCUCACUCUUCAUUUCUCCUCCUCCUCUCUCCUCUUCAGCUCAUGAACUCAGUUCACCAUCGAUUAAUAAUUCAAAUGUUUGUGUUGUGAAAGAGGGGUUCGGUUUUUCGAGUUAGGCUAGUGAAGAGGGGUUCGGUUUUGAAAAGCGACGGUCGGAGAUUGAGUUGAGGAAUAGAAGGAGGCAGUGAUUUUUUGAAGAAACGUUCCGUAGUCAGCUUCUGCCUUUGCACCAAUAGCAAAUCCUACAAAUUGUCCUUGGGGAGAGAAGGCAUUCACUUGCGAUAGUUAUAGUUCUGCAAAUAGAGGAGGGCUUCUCAGGCAGCCAAAGUGGGGUCAUCUGAAGGAUUUGCACAGAGCAAUAAAACUCUGUGAACCUGCUUUGGUAUCUGGAGAUCAAACGUUAAGCAAACACAAAAAACUAUAUUGAUGAAGGGCUAUAUAAACAAGGGGGGCUAUAUAAUCAAGUAUAAGUGGGUAUUGUGAUCGUCCUAGUGUUAGUAGUGAGCAAAUCUAUACCACCGCAAUUAAAUGCUCUCCUUACUAUCAGUAUGCAUCCAAAUAGCCAAAAAAAUGCGAAGCAUCUUCCGGUUAGUGUUUCGAAUGAUAAAUCUCCAUAUCCAGCUGUGGAGAUAGAUACCAUGGUGAGAUAGAAACUAUCGAUCACAAGAAUUGGGAUUAUCAUUCAUGGCUUUAGGGAUUAUCAUUCUCUGGAUUGCUUUAGGACUAAUUGGAGUGCAUUAUUUUGAGCACAAGAAUUGGGUCGAUAGUUUCUAUCUCACCAUGGUAUCUAUCUCCACAGUUGGAUAUGGAGAUUUCUCAUUCGAAACACUAACCGGAAGAUGCUUCACAUUUUUUUGGCUAUUUGGAUGCACAUACUGAUAGUAAGGAGAGCAUUUAAUUGCGGUGGUAUAGAUUUGCUCACUACUAACACUAGGACGAUCACAAUACCCACUUAUACUUGAUUAUAUAGCCCCCCUUGUUUAUAUAGCCCUUCAUCAACAUAGUUUUUUGUGUUUGCUUAACGUUUGAUUCCCCUCUACUCCAUCCCAUUGGUGGUCAGGCAAGCUGCUAUUCCUUUGGGCAGAGAGAUAGUAUUGACUCAUCCUCUUUGGUAUUUGUUCUUCAAGGUGCUUUCUGUAGGUUUCAAAUGCUUGUCUCUCUUUGGUAUAACUUUGUUUGGUAGCAUUAAACUCCUUUGUUUUUUCUUCAACAAUGGGGGGCAAAGUCAUUUUCAGCAUGCUACACUCUUCCUCAACCGUCCUUUGGUCUUGUUUUUUAGCCUUUGCAUCGUGUAUCCAAAAGAGGAAGGGUGUUUUACUGUGAAGAAUUGUCUGCUCUUAUUUGUUCCUUGUGUCAAACAUUGAAGUGGCUGAACUACUGCUCUGUAUGUACAGCUAAUAAGGAUAUUUGUCUUCUUCAAGAGAGACAACGACCAAGAGAAAUUAUAGCCAUCUUCAUUGGACAUGCCUUUCUGAAUUUUCUGAAAUUUCCCUUCUUAUGCUUAUUACUUUUUCUGAAUAAAAUAAAGAUGCUGUCGAAUGGUCACGUUAUCUUUCCCUUCUUAAGCAUCCUCAAUUUGAUGGAGUGCGUGAUCUUUCCAUCAGUAACCAGUUAUUAGAGAAGUGUAAGCAUCCUCAAUUUGAUGGAGUGUGUUAGGGACGUGCCUAACAAGAGAGAGAAGAUCAGAAAGUAACAGAAGAGAUGAUAUUAAAAUGCAGUAAAGGUAUCAGUUACACUACAAUCCUAUUUAUACUUCUCUUAACAACUCCUGCUAUCAGUAUUGAAACCCACCAUGACACGUCUGCAACUAAUAACCACAACGUGUAACCUUCCUAAUUACAAUUGUAACUGACGUGGGGUCCUACCCCAAUGAAAUCAACCAUGGGAUUCUCAUAUUAUAUAUUAUUUGCUCAUGCACAUUAUACUUAAUUAUAAGUUGUGCACAUUAUACAUGGU